rnacentral:rRNA from 1 species
AAUGAACGCUGGCGGCAGGCUUAACACAUGCAAGUCGAACGAUGACUAACUAGCUUGCUAGUUAUGAUUAGUGGCGGACGGGUGAGUAACAUUUAGGAAUCUGCCUAGUAGUGGGGGAUAGCUCGGGGAAACUCGAAUUAAUACCGCAUACGACCUACGGGUGAAAGGGGGCGCAAGCUCUUGCUAUUAGAUGAGCCUAAAUCAGAUUAGCUAGUUGGUGGGGUAAAGGCCUACCAAGGCGACGAUCUGUAACUGGUCUGAGAGGAUGAUCAGUCACACCGGAACUGAGACACGGUCCGGACUCCUACGGGAGGCAGCAGUGGGGAAUAUUGGACAAUGGGGGCAACCCUGAUCCAGCCAUGCCGCGUGUGUGAAGAAGGCCUUUUGGUUGUAAAGCACUUUAAGCAGGGAGGAGAGGCUAAUGGUUAAUACCCAUUAGAUUAGACGUUACCUGCAGAAUAAGCACCGGCUAACUCUGUGCCAGCAGCCGCGGUAAUACAGAGGGUGCGAGCGUUAAUCGGAAUUACUGGGCGUAAAGCGAGUGUAGGUGGCUCAUUAAGUCACAUGUGAAAUCCCCGGGCUUAACCUGGGAACUGCAUGUGAUACUGGUGGUGCUAGAAUAUGUGAGAGGGAAGUAGAAUUCCAGGUGUAGCGGUGAAAUGCGUAGAGAUCUGGAGGAAUACCGAUGGCGAAGGCAGCUUCCUGGCAUAAUAUUGACACUGAGAUUC